AAAUUGAAGAGUUUGAUCAUGGCUCAGAUUGAACGCUGGCGGCAGGCCUAACACAUGCAAGUCGAGCGGUAGCACAGAGAGCUUGCUCUCGGGUGACGAGCGGCGUACGGGUGAGUAAUGUCUGGGAAACUGCCUGAUGGAGGGGGAUAACUACUGGAAACGGUAGCUAAUACCGCAUAACGUCGCAAGACCAAAGUGGGGGACCUUCGGGCCUCAUGCCAUCAGAUGUGCCCAGAUGGGAUUAGCUAGUAGGUGGGGUAACGGCUCACCUAGGCGACGAUCCCUAGCUGGUCUGAGAGGAUGACCAGCCACACUGGAACUGAGACACGGUCCAGACUCCUACGGGAGGCAGCAGUGGGGAAUAUUGCACAAUGGGCGCAAGCCUGAUGCAGCCAUGCCGCGUGUGUGAAGAAGGCCUUCGGGUUGUAAAGCACUUUCAGCGGGGAGGAAGGCGGUGAGGUUAAUAACCUCACCGAUUGACGUUACCCGCAGAAGAAGCACCGGCUAACUCCGUGCCAGCAGCCGCGGUAAUACGGAGGGUGCAAGCGUUAAUCGGAAUUACUGGGCGUAAAGCGCACGCAGGCGGUCUGUCAAGUCGGAUGUGAAAUCCCCGGGCUCAACCUGGGAACUGCAUUCGAAACUGGCAGGCUAGAGUCUUGUAGAGGGGGGUAGAAUUCCAGGUGUAGCGGUGAAAUGCGUAGAGAUCUGGAGGAAUACCGGUGGCGAAGGCGGCCCCCUGGACAAAGACUGACGCUCAGGUGCGAAAGCGUGGGGAGCAAACAGGAUUAGAUACCCUGGUAGUCCACGCCGUAAACGAUGUCGAUUUGGAGGUUGUGCCCUUGAGGCGUGGCUUCCGGAGCUAACGCGUUAAAUCGACCGCCUGGGGAGUACGGCCGCAAGGUUAAAACUCAAAUGAAUUGACGGGGGCCCGCACAAGCGGUGGAGCAUGUGGUUUAAUUCGAUGCAACGCGAAGAACCUUACCUGGUCUUGACAUCCACAGAACUUUCCAGAGAUGGAUUGGUGCCUUCGGGAACUGUGAGACAGGUGCUGCAUGGCUGUCGUCAGCUCGUGUUGUGAAAUGUUGGGUUAAGUCCCGCAACGAGCGCAACCCUUAUCCUUUGUUGCCAGCGGUCCGGCCGGGAACUCAAAGGAGACUGCCAGUGAUAAACUGGAGGAAGGUGGGGAUGACGUCAAGUCAUCAUGGCCCUUACGACCAGGGCUACACACGUGCUACAAUGGCAUAUACAAAGAGAAGCGACCUCGCGAGAGCAAGCGGACCUCAUAAAGUAUGUCGUAGUCCGGAUUGGAGUCUGCAACUCGACUCCAUGAAGUCGGAAUCGCUAGUAAUCGUAGAUCAGAAUGCUACGGUGAAUACGUUCCCGGGCCUUGUACACACCGCCCGUCACACCAUGGGAGUGGGUUGCAAAAGAAGUAGGUAGCUUAACCUUCGGGAGGGCGCUUACCACUUUGUGAUUCAUGACUGGGGUGAAGUCGUAACAAGGUAACCGUAGGGGAACCUGCGGUUGGAUCACCUCCUUA
rnacentral:rRNA from 1 species